AAUAGGUCUAGAAAAGGCUUGGAGAAAAGAUCAUCUGGUAGAGUCCUCUUUUUAGUCCUGAAGUUUUUUUCAAACCCACCCCCAAGGAAACAAGAGUUAUAUCUUCUCUCUCUCUCUUAGAGUUUUUGUUUAUUUUUGUGUGUGAGAGAGAGAGAGAACGAGAAAGGGAGAGACAGAGACAGAGGAUUCAAAGCAGACCCUUCUUGGGAGCAGAGCAGAGAGCCCAAUGUAGGGCUCGAACUCAUGAACUGUGAGGUCAAGACCUGAGCCAGAGUCAGACGCUUAACUGACUGAGCCACCCAUGCACCCUGAGAGUCUCAUCUUCUUUUAAUGUUAUCUAGACAAAGAAACUCUACGGUCCUCUUCAAUAGCUCAUGCCUAUCCUCCUUUCACCUCUAAUUUCUGACAUCCAUGCGCAAGUCGUUCUGUUUUCCAAUCGAAAAUCCUCAUGCUGCAUUUUAAAUCUACUGGAUUUGUUAUUGUUCACAGACAUAGAGGGUGUUGUUGAUGCUUACCAUUUGUAUAUACCCUACACUCACGAUUCCGACUAAAACAACAACAGCCACCAUCACAGAGCUGGCCUAAUAACCCCAGUGCUCUCAGAUGUAUUGAUUUUUCCUUUUUGUCUUCACAUAGGUAAGAUAGAUGUUGCUAAAGUUCCUUCUUCCAUUUUCCAGAUGGAGAAACACAACUUCAGAGAGGUUAAAUGAUUCACCUCAAGGUACCCCUGCUAUUGAAAUGAUGCACCACAACUCAAACUUUGUUGGCCUGACACCAAGUGCCGCACUUCUGUUUGCUACAGCAGAGAUUUCCAGCUGCCCACCCAAAUCCAUUCCUCCUCUUAUCCACUCACUGUUCGAAGUGCUGAGUGAGGCUGUGACUAGCCAGGACCCUGAGAUGGUGACAUCCAGAGCAACCCUGGAAUGCUAAAAUAGUCAUCAGCCUGCGUCCCUCAAUCCCUGCCUUGGACUGUUACAUGAAGAAACAAAAACAGAACAGAAACAAACAAACAAAAACAUCUUGUUCUUCAAGUCACCGAAUCUUUUGGGUGUAUGUGUUGCUUCCGCUUAGCUUUCCCUAAUUUAUACAACCCAUUUGCCAGUUUGCUUAAACAUUUCCAGUGCUGGGAGGUAUAGUACUUUUCAAGGUAGUAAAGGCUUUUUUUUUUUUAAUGUUGAGUCAAAAUAUUUAUUCUUAUUUCUUCUAAUUUUUUUCCUUUGGAGUAACCAGAAUUUCAGUACACUUCAGAAUAAGCCUAUAAAUAUUUGACCAUAGU
rnacentral:lncRNA from 1 species